GAGUUAACCCAGCCAAAGACGGUUCCAAGCCCGUUUGAAAAAUGGGGAGGAGCUC
rnacentral:ribozyme from 2 species